rnacentral:rRNA from 1 species
CCUACGGGUGGCAGCAGUGGGGAAUUUUGGACAAUGGGCGCAAGCCUGAUCCAGCCAUGCCGCGUGUCUGAAGAAGGCCUUCGGGUUGUAAAGGACUUUUGUUAGGGAAGAAAAGGAGUAUGUUAAUACCAUACUCUGCUGACGGUACCUAAAGAAUAAGCACCGGCUAACUACGGGCCAGCAGCCGCGGUAAUACGUAGGGUGCGAGCGUUAAUCGGAAUUACGGGGCGUAAAGCGAGCGCAGGCGGUUUAUUAAGCAAGAUGUGAAAUCCCCGAGCUUAACUUGGGAACUGCGUUUUGAACUGGUAAGCUAGAGUAUGUCAGAGGGGGGUAGAAUUCCACGUGUAGCAGUGAAAUGCGUAGAGAUGUGGAGGAAUACCGAUGGCGAAGGCAGCCCCCUGGGAUAAUACUGACGUUCAUGCUCGAAAGCGUGGGUAGCAAACAGGAUUAGAUACCCCAGUAGUC